UACGUAGGGUGCGAGCGUUGUCCGGAAUUAUUGGGCGUAAAGAGCUCGUAGGCGGUGUGUCGCGUCGGUCGUGAAAACUUGGGGCUUAACCCUGAGCUUGCGGUCGAUACGGGCAUCACUGGAGUUCGGCAGGGGAGACUGGAAUUCCUGGUGUAGCGGUGAAAUGCGCAGAUAUCAGGAGGAACACCGGUGGCGAAGGCGGCCCACUGGUCCGGUACUGACGCUGAGGUGCGAAAGCGUGGGGAGCAAACAGG
rnacentral:rRNA from 1 species